UUACUGACAUCAAACCUGAUGUCUUCCCUUUCCCCUGCAGCCUCUGCCCGGAGUAGUAUCUGCUGCACAGCUCCAGACACGUGCAGAGUGGCCAGCUAUGGACUUAAGGCAGAUGUGACUCCAGGUGUGCAUGGUCACCAGACACUGGAUCUUGGAAGACCGCCAUUAAAGCCUCACUUUUGUACUUCCUGUCUCUGAGUCCAUUCUUUGGGACUAGGCAACAGGAUGACUUGAAAUUAGGACAUUCUUCACUCUCCAGAAGAGAAGAAAUAGUGACAGGUGAACAGUGUAUACGUGGAGUUUUCAGAUAACUUCACCUGAAUGAGAAAUCUGUCUUCAUCAGGACCUCAGACAUCUGACAGUUUUGUGGCACACCAAGAUAACAAAUUUAUAUCCUGAUGUCUUAAGAAGAUGAAGUAAAACAUUCAAGUAGUUUUCGGUGCGGUUUUUUUGUUUUUUAAAUCCCUUUCUCUUUUUAUUCUUUUCACAUGCUUCAAUAGACACUGGAAUUAGAUUGGCAGGUUUAUUGCUC
rnacentral:lncRNA from 1 species